AGAAUCAACGCUGGCGGCGUGCCUAACACAUGCAAGUCGAACGAGAAAGUAGGAGCAAUCCAUGAGUAAAGUGGCGCACGGUGAGUAACACGUGACUAACCUACCCUUGAGUGGGGAUAACCUAGGGAAACCUGGGCUAAUACCGCAUAAUACCUUCGGGUCAAAGGAGCAAUUCGCUUAAGGAGGGGGUCGCGGCCGAUUAGUUAGUUGGCGGGGUAAUGGCCCACCAAGACUGUGAUCGGUAU
rnacentral:rRNA from 1 species